rnacentral:rRNA from 1 species
CUUGGUUCAGAUUGAACGCUGGCGGCGUGCUUAACACAUGCAAGUCGAACGCGAAAGGGACUUCGGUCCUGAGUAAAGUGGCGCACGGGUGAGUAACGCGUGGAUAAUCUGCCCUUAUGAUCGGGAUAACAGUUGGAAACGGCUGCUAAUACCGGAUACGCUCAAAAUGAACUUUUUUGAGGAAAGAUGGCCUCUGCUUGCAUGCUAUCACGUAAGGAUGAGUCCGCGUCCCAUUAGCUUGUUGGCGGGGUAACGGCCCACCAAGGCAACGAUGGGUAGCCGAUUUGAGAGGAUGAUCGGCCACACUGGAACUGAAACACGGUCCAGACUCCUACGGGAGGCAGCAGUGGGGAAUAUUGCGCAAUGGGCGAAAGCCUGGCGCAGCGACGCCGCGUGAGGGAUGAAAGGUUUUCGGAUCGUAAACCUCUGUCAGAAGGGAAGAAACUACGUUGUGCUAAUCAGCAGCGUACUGACGGUACCUUCAAAGGAAGCACCGGCUAACUCCGUGCCAGCAGCAGC